rnacentral:rRNA from 1 species
UGCGAGUCAUUGUAGCAAUACAAGGCAGACGGCUCAGUAACGCGUAGUCAAUCUACCCUAUGGACGGGAAUAACCUCGGGAAACUGAGAAUAAUGCCCGACAGAACAUUAUACCUGGAACGGUUUAUGUUUCAAAUGAUUUAUCGCCGUAGGAUGGGACUGCGGCCUAUCAGUUUGUUGGUGAGGUAAUGGCCCACCAAGACUAUUACAGGUACGGGCUCUGAGAGGAGUAGCCCGGAGAUGGGUACUGAGACACGGACCCAGGCCCUAUGGGGCGCAGCAGGCGAGAAAACUUUGCAAUGUGCGAAAGCACGACAAGGUUAAUCCGAGUGGUUUCUGCUAAAGAAACCUUUUGCUAGUCCUAGAAACACUAGUGAAUAAGGGGUGGGCAAGUUCUGGUGUCAGCCGCCGCGGUAAAACCAGCACCUCAAGUGGUCAGGAUGAUUAUUGGGCCUAAAGCAUCCGUAGCUCGUUUUGUAAGUUUUCGGUUAAAUCCAUACGCUUAACGUAUGGGCUGCCGGGAAUACUGCAUAACUAGGAAGUGGGAGAGGUAGACGGUACUCGGUAGGAAGGGGUAAAAUCCUUUGAUCUAUUGAUGACCGCCUGUGGCGAAGGCGGUCUACCAGAACACGUUCGACGGUGAGGGAUGAAAGCUGGGGGAGCAAACCGGAUUAGAUACCCGGGUAGUCCCAGCUGUAAACUAUGCAAACUCAGUGAUGCAUUGGCUUGUGGCCAAUGCAGUGCUGCAGGGAAGCCGUUAAGUUUGCCGCCUGGGAAGUACGUACGCAAGUAUGAAACUUAAAGGAAUUGGCGGGG